rnacentral:rRNA from 1 species
GGGGGGGGGGGGGGGCGGGGGGGGGGGGGGCAGGGCGGGCGAGCGGGGGGGGGGCUUGCUGUGCGUAGGUUGGCGGCGGGCGGGGGCGUGACACGUGGGGGACCUACCUGUAAGACGGGGCUAACUUCGGGAAACCGGUGCUGAGACCGGAUAAUAGUUUGAACCGCAUGGUUCGAAAGUUAACGACGUUCUUGCUGGCCCUUCUAGCGGGAUCCUCGCCGCAUUAGCUAGUUGGUCAGGUAACGGAGUAGCAAGGCAACGAUGAAUAGCCGACCGGAGCGGGUGCUCGGCCACACUGGAACUGAGACACGGUCCAGACUCCUACGGGAGGCAGCAGUAGGGAAUCUUACGCAUUGGGCGAAAGCCUGACGGAGCAACGCCGCGUGAGUGAUGAAGGUCUUCGGAUCGUAAAACUCUGUUAUUAGGGAAGAACAUAUGUGUAAGUAACUGUGCACAUCUUGACGGUACCUAAUCAGAAAGCCACGGCUAACUACGUG